ensembl:lncRNA
UUUUUAACUUCUUAUUUCUGCUUCCUGCCUCCAUGUUCGAGUUUUUCAUGGUUAUUUUGUUUUUGGGUGGCUGCUUGUUAGUUAGCCACCUCUUUCCGCCGUCCAGUAGGAGGAUAUAGAUGAAAGGCAGGCAGAAUGCUCGGUAGAGGGAUGCCGUCUACUUAAAGGUCAUUUAUUUCCUCUGUCACUUUGUUAGGGCGAGGGAGGAAAAGACGAAACGCAGUGUUUUUAUGACCCCCAGUGUUGGUAGGCGGCUUCCUAGGAAGAAUAUGCUUCUUCUUCUCUGUUUAAUUCAUGUCCUCGGAGGUGUUGUGUUAGGUGUUGUGUUAGGUGUUGUGUUAGGUGUUGUGUUAGGUGUUAUGUUAGGUGUUAUGUUAGGUGUUAUGUUAGGUGUUGUGUUAGGUGUUAUGUUAGGUGUUGUGUUAGGUGUUGUGUUAGGUGUUAUGUUAGGUGUUAUGUUAGGUGUUGUGUUAGGUGUUGUGUUAGGUGUUGUGUUAGGUGUUGUGUUAGGUGUUAUGUUAGGUGUUAUGUUAGGUGUUAUGUUAGGUGUUGUGUUAGGUGUUAUGUUAGGUGUUAUGUUAGGUGUUAUGUUAGGUGUUAUGUUAGGUGUUAU